rnacentral:rRNA from 1 species
CGCGGCCUAUCAGCUUGUUGGUGAGGUAAUGGCUCACCAAGGCGACGACGGGUAGCCGGCCUGAGAGGGCGACCGGCCACACUGGGACUGAGACACGGCCCAGACUCCUACGGGAGGCAGCAGUGGGGAAUAUUGGGCAAUGGAGGAAACUCUGACCCAGCGACGCCGCGUGAGGGAUGAAGGCCUUCGGGUUGUAAACCUCUUUCAGUAGGGAAGAAGCGAAAGUGACGGUACCUACAGAAGAAGCACCGGCUAACUAUGUGCCAGCAGCCGCGGUAAUACAUAGGGUGCAAGCGUUGUCCGGAAUUAUUGGGCGUAAAGAGCUCGUAGGUGGUUAGAUACGUCGGAUGUGAAAAUCAGGGGCUCAACCCCUGACCUGCAUUCGAUACGGUCUAGCUAGAGUGUGGUAGGGGAGACUGGAAUUCCUGGUGUAGCGGUGGAAUGCGCAGAUAUCAGGAGGAACACCGAUGGCGAAGGCAGGUCUCUGGGCCAUUACUGACACUGAGGAGCGAAAGCGUGGGGAGCGAACAGGAUUAGAUACCCUGGUGGUCCACGCCGUAAACGGUGGGCGCUAGUUGUGCGAACCUUCCACGGUUUGCGCGACGCAGCUAACGCAUUAAGCGCCCCGCCUGGGGAGUACG